rnacentral:rRNA from 1 species
UCCGUAGGUGAACCUGCGGAAGGAUCAUUACUGAGUGAGGGCCCUCUGGGUCCAACCUCCCACCCGUGUUUAUUGUACCUUGUUGCUUCGGUGCGCCCGCCUCACGGCCGCCGGGGGGCUUCUGCCCCCGGGUCCGCGCGCACCGGAGACACCAUUGAACUCUGUCUGAAGAUUGCAGUCUGAGCAUAAACUAAAUAAGUUAAAACUUUCAACAACGGAUCUCUUGGUUCCGGCAUCGAUGAAGAACGCAGCGAAAUGCGAUAACUAAUGUGAAUUGCAGAAUUCAGUGAAUCAUCGAGUCUUUGAACGCACAUUGCGCCCCCUGGUAUUCCGGGGGGCAUGCCUGUCCGAGCGUCAUUGCUGCCCUCAAGCACGGCUUGUGUGUUGGGCUCCGUCCCCCCGGGGACGGGUCCGAAAGGCAGCGGCGGCACCGAGUCCGGUCCUCGAGCGUAUGGGGCUUUGUCACCCGCUCUGUAGGCCCGGCCGGCGCCAGCCGACAACCAAUCAUCCUUUUCAGGUUGACCUCGGAUCAGGUAGGGAUACCCGCUGAACUUAAGCAUAUCAAUAAGCGGAGGA